UCACCUGUUUAACAAAAACAUGUCUUUUUGAUAAAAAUUUAAGGUUUGACCUGCUCACUGAAUAUAGGUGAUUUGAAGAGCCGCGGUAUUUUGACCGUGCAAAGGUAGCAUAAUCAUUAGUCUUUUAAUUGGAGGCUGGAAUGAAUGGUUUGACGAAAGGAAGACUGUCUCAAAUAAUAAUUGAUAAAAUUUAACUUUUAAGUCAAAAGGCUUAAAUUUUACUUUAGGACGAGAAGACCCUAUAGAGCUUUAUAUAAAAUUUAUUGUCAUUUUUUUGAUAAUUUAUUUUGUUUAUUAAUAGAUAUAUUUUGUUGGGGUGACAUAAAGAAUAAAUAAACUCUUUAUUUUUGAUAUCAUUAAUUUAUGAAAGAUUGAUCCGUAUUUGGAUAGAGAUAUC
rnacentral:rRNA from 1 species